rnacentral:rRNA from 1 species
AGGUGACCUGCGGAAGGUCAUUACCGAGUGCGGGUCCUUUGGGCCCAACCUCCCAUCCGUGUCUAUUGUACCCUGUUGCUUCGGCGGGCCCGCCGCUUGUCGGCCGCCGGGGGGGCGCCUCUGCCCCCCGGGCCCGUGCCCGCCGGAGACCCCAACACGAACCCUGUCUGAAAGCGUGCAGUCUGAGUCGAUCGUUUGCAAUCAGUUAAAACUUUCAACAAUGGAUCUCUUGGUUCCGGCAUCGAUGAAGAACGCAGCGAAAUGCGAUAACUAAUGUGAAUUGCAGAAUUCAGUGAAUCAUCGAGUCUUUGAACGCACAUUGCACCCCCUGGUAUUCCGGGGGGUAUGCCUGUCCGAGCGUCAUUGCUGCCCUCAAGCACGGCUUGUGUGUUGGGUCGUCGUCCCCCCCCGGGGGACGGGCCCGAAAGGCAGCGGCGGCACCGCGUCCGGUCCUCGAGCGUAUGGGGCUUUGUCACACCGCUCUUGUAGGCCCGGCCGGCUGCUGGCCGACGCUGAAAAGCAACCAACUAUUUCUCCAGGUUGACCUCGGAUCAGGUAGGGAUACCCGCUGAACUUAAGCAUAUCAAUAAGCGGAGGA